UUAUUUGAGAGUUUGAUCCUGGCUCAGGAUGAACGCUGGCGGCGUGCCUAACACAUGCAAGUUGAGCGAUUUACUUCGGUAAAGAGCGGCGGACGGGUGAGUAACGCGUGGGUAACCUACCCUGUACACACGGAUAACAUACCGAAAGGUAUGCUAAUACGGGAUAACAUAUUUGAGAGGCAUCUCUUGAAUAUCAAAGGUGAGCCAGUACAGGAUGGACCCGCGUCUGAUUAGCUAGUUGGUAAGGUAACGGCUUACCAAGGC
rnacentral:rRNA from 1 species